CGCGGUACUCUCUCAUCUGUACGCGCCGAUCGACGCACGCCGACACGUCCGACGGAUUACGUUUACGUUACAUUUUUUUUUUAUUCUCUCCCUCGUACGCAAAAUUUGUAUCAUUAUUAUUUUUUAUAAAAAUAAUAGCAUUGUCGGAGAUUGAUAGGAGAAGAGAAAAAAAUAGAAAAAAAAAAAAAAAGGGAAAAACGAUUUAUUUUUUUUCGUUCGCACAACAGUUCGGAUCGAAUUUUUAUAUAUUAUUAUUACGAGACUGCCGUUUAUUGUGGUUUUUUCGAAUUUUUUUUUCGUUCGUUCUGACCUCGGAAUAUCGUGCGCGAGCAUAAUAAUAUUAUCUACCACUAUUGACUGUAACCUGCCCGGCGCACUCGUUAUAAUCGCCAAUUAAUAUAAUAGUAAUAAUAUCGGGUUUUUUUUUUUUUACAAUAUGAACGUAUACUCGCCGAUCCGCGUGCGACUGUGACCACCGUUCGUCCGUUCGGUUUUUUUUUUUUUU